rnacentral:lncRNA from 1 species
AAGGCAAGAGCUCAAGAGGGCAGCACGCAAGGAGAAGAAAAUGAAUGGAUCUAUGGUGGCAAAAAUUAAAAAAAAAAUCCAGGAACCAUUGGUAUAAAACUCUGGAUACCAAAGGAGCCCUCCUCUCUGUUCCUCCGUCCAAGCAUCAGGAAAGUCAAUACAAUGAUCAGAACUAUCCUGAGGACUGAUAUGUCUGGGAACUGUUCUGAUCACCACCACCGCCACCACCAAGCAGGAGUAUACACGUGCACUAAGGCAGCAACUGGGAAACAUGCUGGGCAUAGAACAUUGAUGGCUAUUCACAGCAAAGAGCCUGCUUGGCCCUGGUUUCCAAGUCAUCAUCAGCUGGCCUACAACCCCAAUAGUUCUGAUACUUCAGAGACCAGACUUAAUGUCCAAGGGAACCACAUAGCUCUCCAGAAGAGGAGGAGCUGGAACCAGAUGAUGACACAGACCAAUCUGGAGAUACAGUUUGAUGGAGAUGGAGUUGUAGAGGAACCAACUAUCAGCAGAUGGAAUGUGGAAGAGAAAAAGAUUUGGCAUGACAGAGAACCAUAAUACGGAAAACCAUCCAUCCCCAGUGAGAGUAUUCAAAUAUUGAAGGGGAUGUUGGCACCACGAUUCCUCUUCUGUAUCGAUGCCUUUGUACUGACUGUCUGCCAAGCCUGGAAUGCACUUCCUCCUCACCUCCACUUCUUACAUUUCUGAUUUCCUUCAAAACUCAAUUCAAGGGCCACUUUCCGUGGGCAGAAUUUUCAGAUCCCCCAACCUCAGUUUUGUGAAUACCUCCCCUCCAAAUCACCUUCUAUCUUUUUUUGCAUUGAUCUGUAUGUACCUGUUAUCUCCCCUUCACUAGUUCAACCCUGAGAGGUCAAAAGCUUUUUUCAUUCUUUUUGUCACCAGCAACUAGCUCAUAGUAGGC